rnacentral:rRNA from 1 species
UAAGGAAUAUUGGUCAAUGGACGCAAGCCUGAACCAGCCAUGCCGCGUGGAGGAUGAAGGUCCUCUGGAUUGUAAACUUCUUUUAUCUGGGAAGAAAUCCAUUUUUUCUAAGAUGGUUGACGGUACCAGACGAAUAAGCACCGGCUAACUCCGUGCCAGCAGCCGCGGUAAUACGGAGGGUGCAAGCGUUAUCCGGAUUCACUGGGUUUAAAGGUGCGUAGGUGGGCAGUUAAGUCAGUGGUGAAAUCUCCGGGCUUAACCCGGAAACUGCCAUUGAUACUAUCUGUCUUGAAUGCCGUGGAGGUAAGCGGAAUAUGUCAUGUAGCGGUGAAAUGCUUAGAUAUGACAUAGAACACCAAUUGCGAAGGCAGCUUACUACACGAAUAUUGACACUGAGGCACGAAAGCGUGGGGAUCGAAACAGGAUUAGAUACCUGUAGUCACGCCUAAACGAUGGAUACUCGACAUACGCGAUACACAGUG